GACGAACGCUGGCGGCGUGCUUAACACAUGCAAGUCGAGCGGAAAGGCCCUUCGGGGUACUCGAGCGGCGAACGGGUGAGUAACACGUGAGCAACCUGCCCUAGGCUUUGGGAUAACCCCGGGAAACCGGGGCUAAUACCGAAUAGGACCUCCGACCGCAUGGUCGGGGGUGGAAAGUUUUUCGGCCUGGGAUGGGCUCGCGGCCUAUCAGCUUGUUGGUGGGGUGAUGGCCUACCAAGGCGACGACGGGUAGCCGGCCUGAGAGGGCGACCGGCCACACUGGGACUGAGACACGGCCCAGACUCCUACGGGAGGCAGCAGUGGGGAAUAUUGCACAAUGGGCGGAAGCCUGAUGCAGCGACGCCGCGUGAGGGAUGACGGCCUUCGGGUUGUAAACCUCUUUCAGCAGGGACGAAGCGUAAGUGACGGUACCUGCAGAAGAAGCGCCGGCCAACUACGUGCCAGCAGCCGCAGUAAAAC
rnacentral:rRNA from 1 species